rnacentral:rRNA from 1 species
UACGUAGGGUGCGAGCGUUAAUCGGAAUUACUGGGCGUAAAGCGUGCGCAGGCGGUGAUGUAAGACAGGUGUGAAAUCCCCGGGCUUAACCUGGGAACUGCAUUUGUGACUGCAUCGCUAGAGUACGGUAGAGGGGGAUGGAAUUCCGCGUGUAGCAGUGAAAUGCGUAGAUAUGCGGAGGAACACCGAUGGCGAAGGCAAUCCCCUGGACCUGUACUGACGCUCAUGCACGAAAGCGUGGGGAGCAAACAGG